rnacentral:rRNA from 1 species
GCAAGUCGAGCGGAAACGACAACAUUGAAUCUUCGGAGGAUUUGUUGGGCGUCGAGCGGCGGACGGGUGAGUAAUGCCUAGGAAAUUGCCUUGAUGUGGGGGAUAACCAUUGGAAACGAUGGCUAAUACCGCAUAAUGCCUACGGGCCAAAGAGGGGGAUCUUCGGACCUCUCGCGUCAAGAUAUGCCUAGGUGGGAUUAGCUAGUUGGUGAGGUAAUGGCUCACCAAGGCGACGAUCAGUAGCUGGUCUGAGAGGACGAUC